rnacentral:rRNA from 1 species
GAUGAACGCUGGCGGCGUGCCUAAUACAUGCAAGUCGAGCGAACAGAUGAGGAGCUUGCUCCUCUGACGUUAGCGGCGGACGGGUGAGUAACACGUGGAUAACCUACCUAUAAGACCGGGAUAACUUCGGGAAACCGGAGCUAAUACCGGAUAAUAUAUUGAACCGCAUGGUUCAAUAGUGAAAGACGGUUUUGCUGUCACUUAUAGAUGGAUCCGCGCCGCAUUAGCUAGUUGGUAAGGUAACGGCUUACCAAGGCAACGAUGCGUAGCCGACCUGAGAGGGUGAUCGGCCACACUGGAACUGAGACACGGUCCAGACUCCUACGGGAGGCAGCAGUAGGGAAUCUUCCGCAAAGGGCGAAAGCCUGACGGAGCAACGCCGCGUGAGUGAUGAAGGUCUUCGGAUCGUAAAACUCUGUUAUUAGGGAAGAACAAAUGUGUAAGUAACUAUGCACGUCUUGACGGUACCUAAUCAGAAAGCCACGGCUAACUACGUG